AAUAUCACAGGCAAAAAUGGCUUCAGUCCUGAACUCUCCUUUGUGGAAACCUGUCUUCAGGCAUCAGAUUUGUCCAGAGUUGGAAUUAGAAGCAAGCUGGCCCACUCACCCACACCAGGAUAGGAAGGAGGUAUUUACUCUUCUGUCAUCUUUACAUCUGGGUGGAAACUGUUUACUAAUGUCUUAUCACCCCAUUAAACUGUUAGUGCCUUGAGGCAGAAACUGUUCCUUGUUAUUUGUUAUCCCACUGUGUACCCCAGGGACCAGUCAGCAAUGGGUGUUCAAAAAUAAGGAAUGACUCCAGUGAAAUAUAGUAGGUAUUCAGUAAAUCUUUCUUGAUGGCAUUAUCAAUCAAACAAGUGGAGUCUGUUUCUAGUGCCUACUGAGUCACACUUAAGAGUAAAUGGUUUUUGCUAUUCCUUUUGUUCUCCAUACAGCUGUAGCACUUUAUUUAACUGUUCAUAAUAUUUUAAAAACUAAAAAAUUUGCCCUCUGUUUCUACUUUCCAUCUCUCCUUCCCUUUUUCUAUUAUUUCUCCUUCCUUCCUUCUUUCCCUCCCUUUCUUUCCCCUGCAAGUUAUUCCAUGGUCAAUUGCCAAAGUCAGUAGCUCUUUCUCCAUUUCUACUCUCCUUUAUCUCCCUGUUAAAUCAAACUCCUUCAGACCCUCUCUUUUUUUGAUUCCAUGAUAGUCCACUGUCUUCUCUACAUCCAACUCUCUGUGUGCCUCCUCCGUUGGCCUUUCUCAUUCCUUCUUCUCUAUAAGGUAGGCUAUAUUCAGGCUUCCUCCCCUUUUCUACCAUCCACCAAAACUUUAUUCUCUCUUUUCUCUUUAACUGUCCCAUCUGUGGGAAUAAUUCCUUAAUAUCAGUUUCCAGCCCUCUUUUUUCUCCCAGACUCCAGUAUCUUCUCCAUAUCUUCAUCUUCCUGUUAGGCGUUUUCAUUUUAAUGUCCUGACUCCCAUUAACUCUGAAGUAAAAAAACAGAAUGUCUCCUUUACUAACUGCUCACUUCUGUUGUAGUCAUUGUUUGCCCAGGCCCAGAGCCACUGCUCCCUCACAUCCCCUUCAUCCCUGCCCUGCUCUUGCCUUUCCUAUCAGUCAGUUGCAAGCCCUGUAGAUUCUUCCUUAUGGUGUUCAUCUCUGUCCUUUCCUCUGUCUCCAUUUUUAUCCAGGCCCUCAUCACACCUGCAUUAUUACAUUGGUACCUGCCAAGUUUUUUUUUUUUUUUUUAAAUCACUGCAUUAUCUUGUCAUUCCACUGCCAAGCACCAUUAAUGGCUCCCCGUUGCCCACAGGGUGAAGUCUAAACUCCUCAGUGUGAAAGUCAAGGCUCUCUACAGUCUCCUUUCACCUUAACUAUCUGACUCUAGUUCCCACCACUCCCCAGCUGAGACUUCAGGCCAGGUCAGUCUCCCCACUGACUCUUAACCUCUGCUAGUGGUUAUAUCCCUCAAGGCCAAGCAUUCCCAUCCUUCAGGGUUCAGCCCUAAUCCCAAGUCCUUCAGAGGCUUUCUUAAUUACUUUAACCUGCCAGGAACUCCUUCCUUUGAGUUCUCAGCACUGGGUGUCCCCUUUAGGCAUUUGGCACUGGAUAAUCUUUUGCUUUAUGGUAGUGUUAGUUUUAAUGCAUUUAAGUUUUAUUUUUAUUUGCCUUUAUUAACCCAUGUACAUCUGUCUGGUCUCCCUAAAAUAGAUUUAAACUUCCUGAGAGUAUGCACCAUUUGUUUAUACUUCUGCUUUAUCUUAGUAGGUGCUCAGUAAAUUUUACUUUUUGAUGAAUAUUUCAAAUGUGAUUUUUUUUUUUCUUGUUCCUAGGUUAAGAGCAUUCCUGAUGAUCCCUGCCGCCAUUUUCUCCUUGAUUUUGCCCAGUCAGAGCCUGCUCAGAACUUCUGUGGGCCAUAUUCAGAACUUUUCAAAGGAUUCAUACAGGCAUGUAGAAAACAGGCCCCAAAGACAGAUAUAGUUGCUGGUUCCACUAUUGAUCAAGCUGUGAACGCCACCUUUGCUGCUCUGGUGUAUCGCACUCCAGACUUAUAUGAGAAGCUGCAAAAAUAUGGUAAC
rnacentral:lncRNA from 1 species